AUUGAACGCUGGCGGCAGGCCUAACACAUGCAAGUCGAGCGGAUGAAGGGAGCUUGCUCCUGGAUUCAGCGGCGGACGGGUGAGUAAUGCCUAGGAAUCUGCCUGGUAGCGGGGGAUAACGUCCGGAAACGGGCGCUAAUACCGCAUACGUCCUGAGGGAGAAAGUGGGGGAUCUUCGGACCUCACGCUAUCAGAUGAGCCUAGGUCGGAUUAGCUAGUUGGUGGGGUAAAGGCCUACCAAGGCGACGAUCCGUAACUGGUCUGAGAGGAUGAUCAGUCACACUGGAACUGAGACACGGUCCAGACUCCUACGGGAGGCAGCAGUGGGGAAUAUUGGACAAUGGGCGAAAGCCUGAUCCAGCCAUGCCGCGUGUGUGAAGAAGGUCUUCGGAUUGUAAAGCACUUUAAGUUGGGAGGAAGGGCAGUAAGUUAAUACCUUGCUGUUUUGACGUUACCAACAGAAUAAGCACCGGCUAACUUCGU
rnacentral:rRNA from 1 species